UUUCCGUAGGUGAACCUGCGGAGGGAUCAUUCACAUGCAUCCAACCUCUAUCAACCAACUGUGAACUGUUUUGCCGUGUGAAUCAAACGAGUGGAGAUGUUAGUGUAUAUGUAUAUGGGAUCUGAAUGGAGUCAGCUUGCUGACUGAGACCAUCUAACUAGGAGCGAAUUUCUUUUUUUCGCUCCGCGCUCUCUCUCUCUCUCUCUCUCUUUGCUAAGCCGGCCCUAUCUCUAGACUAUCAAUGAUUGUUGAUCUCCAUCUCAAUCACUUUCAUUCUCUGAAGGUCUUAGGGGACCCCCCCCCCCACAACAACAAACCACCUCCGCAUUAUUUGAAUUUGGCACUCGUGUGUCAGAUUGUUAGAAUGUCGAAUAUUCGAUAACACCAAUGAUAGCAUCUUUUUUAGUUCCUCGGAACGGCGGAUGCUUGACUCUGUCUAUCAUUUUCAUGAUAGUCUAACAGUAGUCAUUCUUAACAUAGAAAACAACUCUAUGCCCUGGAUAUCUUGGUUCUC
rnacentral:misc_RNA from 1 species